AUCGCUUUUCGGCCUAAAGGCUAAGAUCAAAGUGUAGUAUCUGUUCUUAUCAGCUUAAUAUCUGAUCUGAAGAUUGAAAAUCGUAGAAGCUGCAUUAUAUGUGAAAUAUAUAACAAACAACCUUCCUAUAAAACUUGUUUCAAUAUCUUAGCUUUUCUCUAUUUUCGGCUAGUAGUGCUGAUUCUAC